rnacentral:rRNA from 1 species
AACAGAUCUAGCUUGCUAGAUGCUGACGAGCGGCGGACGGGUGAGUAAUGCAUAGGAAUCUGCCCGAUAGUGGGGGAUAACCUGGGGAAACCCAGGCUAAUACCGCAUACGUCCUACGGGAGAAAGGGGGCUUCGGCUCCCGCUAUUGGAUGAGCCUAUGUCGGAUUAGCUAGUUGGUGAGGUAAAGGCUCACCAAGGCUGCGAUCCGUAGCUGGUCUGAGAGGAUGAUCAGCCACAUCGGGACUGAGACACGGCCCGAACUCCUACGGGAGGCAGCAGUGGGGAAUAUUGGACAAUGGGGGCAACCCUGAUCCAGCCAUGCCGCGUGUGUGAAGAAGGCCCUCGGGUUGUAAAGCACUUUCAGCGAGGAAGAACGCCUAGCGGUUAAUACCCGUUAGGAAAGACAUCACUCGCAGAAGAAGCACCGGCUAACUCCGUGCCAGCAGCCGCGGUAAUACGGAGGGUGCAAGCGUUAAUCGGAAUUACUGGGCGUAAAGCGCGCGUAGGUGGCUUGAUAAGCCGGUUGUGAAAGCCCCGGGCUCAACCUGGGAACGGCAUCCGGAACUGUCAGGCUAGAGUGCAGGAGAGGAAGGUAGAAUUCCCGGUGUAGCGGUGAAAUGCGUAGAGAUCGGGAGGAAUACCAGUGGCGAAGGCGGCCUUCUGGACUGACACUGACACUGAGGUGCGAAAGCGUGGGUAGCAAACAGGAUUAGAUACCCUGGUAGUCCACGCCGUAAACGAUGUCGACCAGCCGUUGGGUGCCUAGCGCACUUUGUGGCGAAGUUAACGCGAUAAGUCGACCGC